CCUUGACCUCAAAUCGGGUGAGACUACCCGCUGAACUUAAGCAUAUCAAUAAGCGGAGGAAAAGAAACUAACAAGGAUUCCCCUAGUAACUGCGAGUGAAGCGGGAAAAGCUCAAAUUUAAAAUCUGGUGGCCCUUCCGCCAUCCGAGUUGUAAUUUAGAGAAGCGUCUUCCGCGCUGGACCGUGAAAA
rnacentral:rRNA from 1 species